rnacentral:lncRNA from 1 species
AUCACCUCUGAAAUGUGCUAAGGAUGAUGGUUCCCCUUCUGCCAACCUGUUUGUGCUUCAAAGAUGCCACCCCGGAGCACCGAAAGCUGCAUGGUGGGAAUACCCCUUAGGAUGUGAGAAGAAACACGGUGGGAUUUAUCCAUCAGGACUUCACAAGCGCCCUCCUUUGCCCACCUCUUCUCUUGAUUAAGGACAUGGCAUCUCCAACUAGGUCCUCUGUUUUGGACUUCCUUCUGGAAAGCCAGAAGAUGGCUGUUGCCCCAAGACAGCAGCACUACCCAUCUAUGGAAAUGCUGAAGUGAUGUCUGUUCUUUGCCUCCUUGGGAGGGAACCGGCUCUUGCCACAUCUCUGCACUUUCCAGCACAGUGAGCCCCUGUCAGGAGCCUUCAGCCACUCCAGAACCAAAGCACAGGGAAACCACAGACAAGAACCAGGGUGUUGCAACACCAUUGUACUGUCACAAGUCAUCGUGGCUAAAAAUAAACUGCUGCUAAACAACCCUCAGACUCACUUUCACCAAAUGCUGUAAGGAGGACGCCCAUCAAGAGCACUAACUCAGGGCACAAAUAACUUCAAAAACUCUGAGGGAUUUAAUUUUUUGUCUCUCUUCUGAGGUUAAGUCCCCCCA